UCGUCAUAAUUCACUAAUGUUGAUGGAAAUUUCAUAAAUUUCCAUAUAGAUCUAUGAUUAUUAUUUUUAGAAUGUGUCUGAAUCGUGAAUCUUAACAUUCUUACGCAAUGCUUUACAAACGCAUCGCAAUCGUCUCAUCAUCAUUUUGUUUCCCACUUAUCGAAAAUUUUAGGUACCCAAUUUUUUUGCCCGGCCGUGAUACGAAGCAAACUUCCCAUGGAUUUAACUUUCUGCCUGUUUUUUUUUCUCACUUUGUUACAUUUUCUUACAUAUUCUAUUUAUAAGUUUAUAACAAUAAAACAUUAAAACGAGGGCAAAAAAAAUCAAAGUAUCACUGAAACAAAUAUGUUUAAUAGAAGAAAAAGAGAACCAAAAGCAGAACCAGACCACACGCCACCAAACAGACCAGGUUCAGGUUCAGGUUCACAUCAUUCCCAAAGCCAUAAACCAAAUCAUACGAACCAAACGCAGAAUCAAGUGGACGAAACCAAUGGCUCAGCUUGGGUCUUCUCCUCCUGGAAAAUCUUGGCGAUCUUUUCGGUCGGGACCAGUGGCAGGAACGACGAAACUCGGUACCCUUGCUCAGCCGCCUUAACCACGGUG